rnacentral:rRNA from 1 species
UACGUAGGGGGCUAGCGUUGUCCGGAUUUAUUGGGCGUAAAGAGCGCGUAGGCGGCCGCGUAAGUCCGACGUGAAAUCUGGAGGCUCAACCUCCAGCGGUCGUUGGAAACUACUCGGCUAGAGUCCGGAAGAGGAGAGUGGAAUUCCUGGUGUAGCGGUGGAAUGCGCAGAUAUCAGGAGGAACACCGAUGGCGAAGGCAGGUCACGGGGCCGCAACUGACGCUGAGGAGCGAAAGCGUGGGGAGCGAACAGG